rnacentral:tRNA from 1 species
CUCUAGCUCAGUGGUUAGAGCGAUGGUCUUAUGAGCCAUAGGUCGUAGGUUUGGCCCUCGCCGGGACUACGUGAAGGA